CCUACGGGUGGCAGCAGUAGGGAAUCUUCCACAAUGGACGAAAGUCUGAUGGAGCAACGCCGCGUGAGGGAAGAAGGGUUUCGGCUCUUAAAGCUCUGUUGGUAGUGAAGAAAGAUAGAGGUAGUAACUGGCCUUUAUUUGACGGUACAUACUUAGAUAGUCUCGGCGAACUACGUGCCAGCAGCCGCGGUAAUACGUAGGUGGCAAGCGUUGUCCGGAUUUGUUGGGCGUAAAGCGAGUGCAGGCGGGCUAAUAAGUCUGAUGUGAAAGCCUUCGGCUCAACCGGAGGAUUGCAUCAGAAACUGUUGAACUUGAGUGCAGAAGAGGAGAGUGGAACUCCAUGUGUAGCGGUGGAAUGCGUAGAUAUAUGGAAGAACACCAGUGGCGAAGGCGGCUCUCUGGUCUGUAACUGACGCUGAGGCUCGAAAGCAUGGGGAGCGAACAGGAUUAGAUACCCCAGUAGUC
rnacentral:rRNA from 1 species